GAUGAACGCUGGCGGCGUGCCUAAUACAUGCAAGUCGAGCGAACAGACGAGGAGCUUGCUCCUUUGACGUUAGCGGCGGACGGGUGAGUAACACGUAGGUAACCUACCUAUAAGACUGGGAUAACUUCGGGAAACCGGAGCUAAUACCGGAUAAUAUUUCGAACCGCAUGGUUCGAUAGUGAAAGAUGGCUUUGCUAUCACUUAUAGAUGGACCUGCGCCGUAUUAGCUAGUUGGUAAGGUAACGGCUUACCAAGGCAACGAUACGUAGCCGACCUGAGAGGGUGAUCGGCCACACUGGAACUGAGACACGGUCCAGACUCCUACGGGAGGCAGCAGUAGGGAAUCUUCCGCAAUGGGCGAAAGCCUGACGGAGCAACGCCGCGUGAGUGAUGAAGGUCUUCGGCUCGUAAAACUCCGUUAUUAGGGAAGAACAAACGUGUAAGUAACUGUGCACGUCUUGACGGUACCUAAUCAGAAAGCCACGGCUAACUACGUG
rnacentral:rRNA from 1 species